rnacentral:misc_RNA from 1 species
GUUCCAUUGGCUCUGGUGC